rnacentral:rRNA from 1 species
CACCGGCGGCCCGAGUGGUAACCGCUUUUAUUGGGUCUAAAGGGUCUGUAACCGGCCAAGUAAGUCCCUUGGGAAAUCUGGCAGCUUAACUGUCAGGCUGCUAGGGGAUACUGCUAGGCUUGGGACCGGGAGAGGUGAGAGGUACCUUGGGGGUAGGGGUGAAAUCUUGUGAUCCUCGGGGGACCACCAGUGGCGAAGGCGUCUCACCAGAACGGGUCCGACGGUAAGGGACGAAAGCUGGGGGAGCAAACAGGAUUAGAUACCCUGGUAGUCC